AUGGGAACGAGUCAGGGAGUGGAUGAAGAGAUUCAUGAGAGCCGGAGGCAGACCCGGACCAGCAAGGACGCGGAACUCUCCUCCGGCUUACCGAACACACCAAGGAAGCGCCAGAAAAAGGAAACUUCACAUUCUUCCGGCGACUCAAUCCAGUCCAACAUGCCGGCUUUUAAGACCGCUCCAGGUGGAAAAGUAAAACCCAGCAAGAGGGUGAAGAAAAACCAGCCGGUCGAAGAGCCGGCCGUCAAUGAGCCGGAGCUCCAACCCGCAGCGCCUGAGGCCUCUGUUCUUGAGCUGCCACUUGAGUCGGUUCAUGACAUGCCAACAAUGACUGCUGACCCGCCUGUCGAUCAAGCGGCCGACGGCUCUGUAAACCCUGAAGCUUCAAGCCCAGCUAAGACAGCCGACCCACAAGAUGUUGAUGUGGAAAUCACCAAGACCGGCUAUACUGAGCCAGGGAGACCUACUCUGCAAGCCAAGUGUUCUGCCAAGGAGGAGCACAUUGAACGACGUAAAGUCAGAUUUGAUGUUGCUGACUAUACUCAAAUGAGCAUUGGCGAAGUUUUUUCUGGUUAUCUUAGCCAAGUGCACAGUAGCCGCGAUCUUGAAGUUGACAUGGUGAAACAAAUGCACCAGAAAUUUGAGACCACCACUGCUCAACUUCAAUCAGAGCUGCCUGAAUUGAAGAACCGCUUGGAGCUACAAGAGACAGAGACUCAGAGAGCAAACUCCAAAUUUGAAUUCAGCGUGUCUGAACAAGAAAAAUUGAGGUCCAAGUUUGAAGUUGAGAAAAAGGCCUGGGCUGGAGAAAAGAUUGCCUUGACCCGUCGAGCUGAAAAAGCAGAGGCGGCUCUUGAAGAGGUGACCACUGAAUUAUCCGGCUUGAAACGCCAUGUGUCUUAG
rnacentral:rRNA from 1 species